rnacentral:lncRNA from 1 species
UGUGUCGAAGGAGAUGCUUGGAGGGAUAUUCUACUCUACAAAUGUUGUUGUUGUGUGGAAUGAUCUUCGAGAAGAUAUGAUAAGGUCGAUGUAAGUCGUAUCUUUUAGCAUCAUAAGGAAAUUUCCACCAUCAACAAAGGUACGAGCUCUAUCUUAGUCUAAUUUGCUCGAUUGAGUGAACUGUGGGUGGAAUUUGAUAGCUUAACCCUAGUUUCUGGCUGUAAUUGUGCCAAUUCAAGGGAACUUGUCAUGUUUAUGCACAACCAAAAAUCAAUUGCAGUUUCUUAAGGGACUUAAUGAGUCCUAUGAACAAGCUAGGGGGCAAAUUCUGAUGAUGAUGCCAUUACUCUCACUCAAUAAAACCUAUUAUAUGCUGAUUGAAAGGGAAAGCUAACACACUAUUUCACAAUCAUCUGCUAGUUCGUCUGAGUUGAAUGCACUAUUCACUAAUCAAAAUCCAACACCACCAGUGCUUAGAUCAAGACCACCUCACACAUCUACCUAUGAUCCAAAUGCCUUUUGUGAUUACUGCAAACGCGCAUGUCAUACCCAAGCUAUAUGUUAUCAGCUUCAUGGAUAUCCUUCUGGGGGUUACCCGCGAUUGGUAAUGGCACAACCAGAAGAGGAGUAGGGGAGACAGGGUUAGGCGCUGGGAGAAAGGGCAAUACAAUCAAUUGCAGUUUCUUAAGGGACUUAAUGAGUCCUAUGAACAAGCUAGGGGGCAAAUUCUGAUGAUGAUGCCAUUACUCUCACUCAAUAAAACCUAUUAUAUGCUGAUUGAAAGGGAAAGCUAACACACUAUUUCACAAUCAUCUGCUAGUUCGUCUGAGUUGAAUGCACUAUUCACUAAUCAAAAUCCAACACCACCAGUGCUUAGAUCAAGACCACCUCACACAUCUACCUAUGAUCCAAAUGCCUUUUGUGAUUACUGCAAACGCGCAUGUCAUACCCAAGCUAUAUGUUAUCAGCUUCAUGGAUAUCCUUCUGGGGGUUACCCGCGAUUGGUAAUGGCACAACCAGAAGAGGAGUAGGGGAGACAGGGUUAGGCGCUAGAAGAAAGGGCAAUACUCUCCUAACACUGGAAGGGGAAGACCUCAUAAUGAAAUGAGACAAUAUCAAACAACCAACAAUGUGGUUAGUGAUUUUGGACACAACCAUAGGUCUGCAGGAGAUCUGGAUUACAACAAGAGUAUAAGUGCAGGGAAUCAUGGUGAAAGUCAAGGAUAUGACAGGGGCACUAGCCAGACUGAUCAAUCUGAUUACCACAAAGGUAUGAUUGUGCUACAUGAGCAAUAUAGUCAGAUUUUAACCAUGCUUGGUUAGACUAAUGUACAGGGAGGCACUGAAAGAGCAUCUACUUCUCAUUCAAGUGCCAAUUUAGCUCAGGAAUAUCCUUCAACAGGUAAUGCAAUUGCCCUCACAAGUCACUCUGCACAUAAUGGCUGGAUUAUAGACUCAGGUGCAACAAAUCACAUGACAACCUAUGUUGAUAUGCUUGUUCAUAAACAUCCACUUUCACUAAAUAAACCUAGGAUUGUACAAUUGCCCAAUAGUACUACUACUCUUAUCACACACACUGGUUCAAGUAGUUUGAAUCCACAAGAUACUAUCAAUAAUGUCCUCCUCAUUCCUGAUUUUUAGUUCAAUUUGCUAUCACUUUCAAAAAAUACUAAAGAACUACAAUGUGUUGCGUCUUUCUUUCCUGAUUUUGUUGUCAUUUAGGACCUCUUCAGUGGGCAAGUGAAGCUAAUUGGUAGAGAGAAUGUUGGGCUCUAUCAUCUCCCUACACAACUUCAUUAGUUCCAAAGACACACAAUGUCAGACACAUCUAGCAUAUGCUGAUACUUCAUCAGCAGACUCUCAAAUUCACUAGUAGCAGCAAAGACUAGGACACACAUCAUCCAGUGUUUUAGCAGAUGCCCUUGCUUUUCCUACUAAUACAUGUUCCCAAAAUGUCUACAACUGCACCAUUUGUCCUCUAGCUAAGCAACAUAGACUACCUUUUCCACAAAGCACUUCCUUAUCUUCUAUUCCAUUUCAGUUGUUACAUAUAGAUAUUUGGGGUCCCUUCAAUACCCCUACAUAUGAUUGUAACAGAUUGUUUGUUACUAUAGUUGAUGACUGUACUAGGAUGUUGCGAAUCUUUCUAAUAAAAGCCAAGAGUGAUGUUUGUGCUGUGUUGACAAAAUUCGUUACUUUAGUCAAGACUCAAUUUAAUUAUGUUGUUAAAUACAUUAGAAGUGAUAAUGGUUCUGAGUUUAUCAAUGUUGAGUGCCACUAUCUAUGUACUAGCUUAGGCAUUAGUCAUCAAAGGACAUGUAUUCAUACCCCCACAGCAAAAUGAUAUUGCUGAAAGAAAGCACAAGCAUAUACUUGAAGUGGCAAGAACAAUCUGUUCCAGGGUCAAAUUCCCAAUCAGGUUUCGGGAUCACUGUAUUCUCAGUGUUGUAUACAUUAUCAACAGGUUACCUACACCUGUUUUACAUGGCGAAUCACCUUAUGAGGUCUUUCACAAGAGGAGACCUUUUUUUCUGCAUAUGAGAGUCAUAUAUUGCCUUUGUUUUGCCAAAAACAUGUAAAUCAUUGAUAAAUUUCACCCUAGAAGUGUAGUUGUUAUUCAUAUGGGUUAUAGUGAUCUCACCCAGGGGUAUAUUUUGUAUAAUCUGAUGGACAUAAAAAAAAAUUUGAGCAGGGAUAUAAUAUUCAUAGAGUCUUUCUUUCCUUUUGAUGUUCCUAACUCCUCUACCUUGAAGCUCUUUCCUACCACACUCUUCCAUCAGACUUUGCUUCUAGUUAUGAUGCAGGUUUAGUUGCCAUAAGAGAGGCAGAUGAUUUCGCUAUAGUACAAACUGCACCUGUAGUUCCUGCUCAAAGUAAGUCUCAAAGAUCCAGCAAAACCCCACAAUGGUUACAAGAUUAUGUAGCUUCAGCUCAUCUCAGUCCUACCAAGCCUCUCUACUCUAUUGAUCAGUACAUUGGCUAUGAUCAUUUAUCCAUGUCUUAUCAGGAUUUUCUCUAAUCUUUUGGGACCGAUGUUGAACCAUCCUUCUUUGAGGAAGCUUGUCAGUAUCUUAAGUGGGUUGAGGCUAUGCAAGCUGAGAUCUUAGCCUUGGGUGCUCACCAAACCUAUAAGGUUGUUCCUUUGCCUCCUCACAAGAAGGAUAUUGGAUGCAAAUGGAUUUUUAAAAUUAAGUAUAAAGCAUCUUGUGAGGUUGAGAGGUUUAAAGCCAGACUUGUUGCAAAGGGGUUCAAUUAGAGAGAAGGCUUAGACUAUUAGGAAACUUUUUCUCCAGUUGUAAAAAUGGUGACUAUUAGAAGUGUGUUGGCCCUAGUUGAACAAUGGAUCUCUUCAAUGCUUUUCUUUAGGGUGACCUAUUUAAUGAGGUUCAUAUGACUUUUCCUCGUGGUUUUCAACUUCCACAGGGAUUUAAUAUGCACGGGGAGAAACUGUAUGUAGGCUCGCUAAAUCCCUAAAUGAAUUGAAGCAGGCUCCAAGACAGUGGAUUGUAAAGCUUACUGAAGCUCUUAUUAGACUUGAAUUUGUUCAAAGUCUCUUGGACUAUUCACUUUUCAUCGAAAGGACUGGAGCAUCACUAGUGUUAAUCCUUGUACAUGUGGAUGAUAUGAUGAUUAGUGGCAAUGACCUUACACUUAUUCAUAACACCAAAAAGAUCCAUCAAGAUUAAGGAUUUGGGAGAUCUUAGAUACUUUCUAGGGAUUGAGUUUGCCAGGUCCCAAGAAGGCAUUGUUAUGCACCAAAUAAAAUACACUUUGGAAAUUAUAUAUGAAGCUGGCCUUUGUGCUGCAGAAUCAGCUUCCACCCAUCUUGAUCCCUAUGUACAGUUGACAACCAGAGAAUAUGAUGAAAUAAAUGGAAAAGGCAAGGAUGAUAAACUACUUGAAGAUUCUACAAUAUAUAGAAGAUUAGUUGUUGUAUCUAAAUGUCACAAGACCAGACAUUGCAUUUGUCACACAGACCUUGAGUAAAUUUCUUUACCAUCCUAAACAGUCCCAUCUUAAUGUCUUGCUCAAAGUUAUGAAAUAUAUAAAAGGGAAAGCAAGGAUAGGUGUCUUAUUGUCCAACAAGAAAAAUAAAUAGAUAAAUGUUUAAUGUGAUUUAGACUGAGGAGCAUGUAUACGUACUAGAAGAUCAGUUUCUAGAUUUAUGGUGAAACUGGGAGAAUCACUAAUAUCAUGGAAGUCAAAGAAACAAGGAACAAUAUCUAGGAGCUCAGCUAAAGAAAAAUAUAAGAGCAUGGACAGUGCUGUAGCUGAAGUUGUAUAGAUAAUAAGACUUCAAUGAACUUGGUGUUGAUGUUCAACACCUGUUACCAUUCACAGUGAUACCAAGUCAGAAAUCCAAACUCUCGACGAUCUGCUACUAGGAAAAUGUGGUAAAGUUUGUGAGAGUAAAAAUGAUUGUGGUGGCUUAUUUUGCCAGUCUUGUGUGGACAUAAAGAAAGCUGAUGGUUCAACAUAAAAAUGAUGUAGCCUCUAAUUUAAGUGUUGAUGUUUUGUGCAUGUGUGUUUCUAAUUAUUAUUAUUAAGUGUUGUCUUUGUAGUAUGUCUUAUAUUCACUUCAUCAACACUAAGAGGGUGUUUGAAUUGAUUUAAAAGUUGGUCAAACCUAUUUUUAGGUGAGUUUUUUACUUCUGAAAGUGUUUGGCAAAUAUAAAAAGUAGGAAAAAUGCAUAAGUACCUCCCCCCAACCUAUGCCCGUAAUCCCAAAGACACACUUAUACUAUACUAAGGUCCUAUUACCCCCCCCCCCCCCCGAACUUAUUUUAUAACUAAUUUUCUACCCCUUUUCGGCCUACGUGACAUUAUCAAUCAGAUAGCUUGAAAAAAUUGUCAACAUGCGUUGGGCCCAGAAGAUAGUGCCACGUAGGCCAAAAAGGAGUAGAAAAUUAUUUAUAAAUAAGUUCGGAGGGGGGGGGGGUUAAUAGGACCUUAGUAUAGUAUAAGUGUGUCUCUGAGAUUUCAGGCAUAGGUUGGAGGGGUACUUAUGCAUUUUCCCUGAAAAGUAACUUAAAAUAAGUUUAAAAUAACUUAAAAUAAGUCAAAAACCAAAAGUAGGUCUCCCCCUACUUUUUAGUUUUUUGGCUUAAAAGUCAUUUCAGAUUGACUUUUUAUUUUUGACUUAAAAUCUACUUUUUUAAGUUAAGCCAAACGGGCUCUAAGUUUGGUGUAUAUGUGUGAAGAAAAAGAACAUGAAUAAUAAAGGAGAAAAUGACCAAAAUAGUCCUUAAUAUAUGGGUAAUGUUUUAUCUUUGUCCUUAAUGUAUAACAAAUGUGUUCAUUUUGGUUCUUAAUAUAUUUCACUCGAUUGAAAUGAUUCUUAAUAUAUAAAAAAAUGUGUUCAUUUUGUUUCUUCACCCUAAAUCUAAAAGAUUUUUCAAAAAAAAAAGUGUUGAAUUCAACUAUGGACCCUACGUGACUAACAAAAUUCACCAUUGUUGUCUUCUUUAUUAGCUCUAAAGAAAGAAAUCAAAAAAAAAAAAAAACUAACACCAUUUCUCACUUCUCCAAAAAAAUGUACUUGCACACUUUGAAUCCAAUCAAUUGUUUAUAACUUAAUAAUAUUACGCAAUUAGUGAAAGAAGCUCCAACUUCUCACUAAAAACAAUUCAAAUUUCUGACCAAGUGAUGAGUCCACAAUUUGGACUCAUUUAGGGCUAUAUUUUAAUAUAAUUAGUGUCCUCAAAUGCAUAUUUUGUCUCAAUAACUGAUGUAAACCCUUAAGUUUCAGGUAUUUGGAUUGAGAAACAAAACUUAGAUGUUAUCAAGCAAAAAGGAACAAAGCGGCUGAAAGAACGGAGAAAAGACUUCCUGAGGAUCGCCUAAACUAUUAGGCGAGUCACCGAAAGGUUCUAAAUCCCGCCGAAUGUUCCAGUGUGCUGAGCCCUGAAGAAGAAGGUCAAGU